rnacentral:rRNA from 1 species
UUUAACUGAAGAGUUUGAUCAUGGCUCAGAUUGAACGCUGGCGGCAGGCUUAACACAUGCAAGUCGAGCGGGGGAAGGUAGCUUGCUACCGGACCUAGCGGCGGACGGGUGAGUAAUGCUUAGGAAUCUGCCUAUUAGUGGGGGACAACAUCUCGAAAGGGAUGCUAAUACCGCAUACGUCCUACGGGAGAAAGCAGGGGAUCUUCGGACCUUGCGCUAAUAGAUGAGCCUAAGUCGGAUUAGCUAGUUGGUGGGGUAAAGGCCUACCAAGGCGACGAUCUGUAGCGGGUCUGAGAGGAUGAUCCGCCACACUGGGACUGAGACACGGCCCAGACUCCUACGGGAGGCAGCAGUGGGGAAUAUUGGACAAUGGGGGGAACCCUGAUCCAGCCAUGCCGCGUGUGUGAAGAAGGCCUUAUGGUUGUAAAGCACUUUAAGCGAGGAGGAGGCUACUUUAGUUAAUACCUAGAGAUAGUGGACGUUACUCGCAGAAUAAGCACCGGCUAACUCUGUGCCAGCAGCCGCGGUAAUACAGAGGGUGCGAGCGUUAAUCGGAUUUACUGGGCGUAAAGCGUGCGUAGGCGGCUUAUUAAGUCGGAUGUGAAAUCCCCGAGCUUAACUUGGGAAUUGCAUUCGAUACUGGUGAGCUAGAGUAUGGGAGAGGAUGGUAGAAUUCCAGGUGUAGCGGUGAAAUGCGUAGAGAUCUGGAGGAAUACCGAUGG